CCUAAUCUUUGCUGACCUGUUGACCAUUGUUAGUAGGUGCAGUCUCACCUGGCUGGAACCUGUGGACAUGCAUCGCACUUUCUUAAAACGACAGUGGUGAUUCCGAGAAGUUCUGGGGCUCUGGACGUUUCUGCAAAUCAACUUACUGCAGUGGCCAGGGCAGGUUUCCCAGGGAGCCUGAGUGAGCUGCCUGCCCUCCUUGUUAGAUGAUUUACAGCUGGGAUCUGGUUACAGCAUCAGAAUAGACUGUGAGGUGGAGUCGGGGGGGCUCUGAUGGGGACAUUGAUGGGUGCUGGGUUGUUGUAUAGGGUUUGGGUGAUUUGAGACUUGGGUGGGCAGGCUGCCCCCUCCACUGCCCCAGAAAACAGAAAGACAAGCAUACUGGGUGCUGACAACAUUGUUCCAAGGGGACAGCAUUCCCGCUGCUACCUACUGUCAGCAGGACUAUAGAACCACUUCCCUAAAGAGUAUUAGAGACAUUGCCCAACUUCUGUUUUACAAAUAUCACCACACUGAAUUGCUUCUUUACAAAUAUCACCACACCAAAUUGCUUCUUUAGUUGCUUUUGUGUCAUUUGUGUGUGUGUGUGUGUGUGUGUGUGUGUGCGCGCGCAGAGCUCAUCUCGGGGGCACGCUAAUCCAAGAAGUGCAGGAGCUGCUGCAGGAGACUGUGCAACAGAAUUGCUUCUUCAGAGCGUCCUCUGCAGUCCAGUGACGCCCUGUGUGGCACAGCAUUCCAGAAGGGUUUGCUGUUGAGGCUGGGGAAAGGGGCUGUCUUUCUCUGUCACAUACUCUCUCUCUCUCUCUCACACACACGCACACACACACACACACAGAGCUCCCAGGCACCCAGGAAGGGCAAUGGUCUCUGCACACGCAGUGGGUCAUAUGCCCGGAGCAGGCGCUGCUCACAGCUAAGGAGCCCAGCAGAAUUGUGUGUGGCUGGGAGCUUGGAUUACAGCCUUCAUAUCUUCUCCAGGCAAGACAAGUGGCAGCCUCGUGAUUUGGCCCAAGCAUGCCCUGUCCUCAAUCAACCAGCCAAGCAGGGAGCCUUGCUGCCAGUGCCCUGCCACUCAGUAUUUAUUUGCUGCUAUUUGGGGAGCAGUGGAGCCCAAUUGCCUUUCCCAGUCACCCCUGGGUUGCCCUGGGUGGGCCAGGUGGGGGAGUUCAGAUCACUCCCACUCUCAGCCUUCACUGAGUCCCCACCCGCAGCGGCCAGCCAUGCAGAAAAUGUCUCUGCGGCAGCAGAUGUUCUGGGGCCCUGGGUGUCGCAGGCACAGAGCCGCUCCUGAGGCUUCCAGGCUCAACAUCAGCGGCGGCUUCUGACCCAUUCAGAUCUCGUGCCCGGUGCACAGUGUACCACGUCUCGCCUCUACAGCAGCAGGCAUGUGAGCGUCCGUGCACGGGCCAGCCUCAUGCCAGCUCCGUUUUCCUUUUCAGAUUCGGGUGCAGUCUGCACCUUCUACAUGACAUGGGGGAGUAUGCAUUACAUAAAGCCCCAGGUUAGAGACAGGACCCCGGGGCCAGGAGAGGUGGGUGCCUUGUGAUCUGCGUCAUGGUGAGGAGGACUUUGGGGACAGAUGGCCAGGGAUGUUCCCAGGUGGUGGAGGAGGCUCCACUGGCAGAGAAGCAGCUUCAAGCUGAAGACAUUGGGGUGCGAUGGCUGGCCAGGACAGCUUGUCUCCUCGUCCGCACACGGAAUGCUGGACUUCACUCUGUGACCCAGCCAGCGGUCUCAUCUCGCAGCCGCAGCUUUCAGCAGGAAGGAGCCCACUGGUGCCUGCCUGACCUACGAGGGCCCACACCGUUUUGCCCUCCUAACAUUUUGUAUUUGAAGUGCUUGUCAGUCCACAAAAUAACCACUCAAAACCUGUUACUAUUUUGUUGAUAUGUUGUAUGAAGUGAAUGUUAAUAAGUCAUCUAAGUGUAUGCUUUAGUUACAAAUCUUGGAAAAAUAAAAACUUCCUUUUGGAGGAAAAGUGAACUUACUUUGGUAUCAAAAUCACACAACUCCAGGUUGGAUUUUUUUGUGCUUUAAUUUUCGCAGUCACACAAAAGUGGUAUCUCCAUCAGCACUGGGGCGGCCGCCUCCUCCUCAUCAGCCCGACAGCUGCACGGUCCCCGCCUCUCACCCAUUUGGUCUGUUUGCAAGUUACUAGAUCAUACAAAAAUAACCGCUACAAAUUCUCUGUAUCUGGCAUAUAAAAACUGAGCAAAAAGUAUCUCUUAAAGCAAAACAUCUCAGAAAAAAUACAACACAGGUUUAACUUCUGCAGUACUUUGUUCAUAUAAAA